rnacentral:rRNA from 1 species
ACGAACGCUGGCGGCGUGCUUAACACAUGCCAGUCGAACGGAAAGGCCCUGCUUGCAGGGUGCUCGAGUGGCGAACGGGUGAGUAACACGUGGGUGAUCUGCCCCUUACUUUGGGAUAAGCCUGGGAAACUGGGUCUAAUACUGGAUAGGACCAUGCUGUAGGUGGUGUGGUGGAAAGAUUAGUUUCGGUAAGGGAUGAGCUCGCGGCCUAUCAGCUUGUUGGUGGGGUAAUGGCCUACCAAGGCGUCGACGGGUAGCCGGCCUGAGGGGGUGGACGGCCACAUUGGGACUGAGAUACGGCCCAGACUCCUACGGGAGGCAGCAGUGGGGAAUAUUGCACAAUGGGCGCAAGCCUGAUGCAGCGACGCCGCGUGGGGGAUGACGGCCUUCGGGUUGUAAACUCCUUGCAGCCAUGACGAAGCCCUUGUGGUGACGGUAGUGGUAGAAGAAGCACCGGCUAACUACGUG